UUGUUAUUUGAUGAGUUGUGGACCUGCAAAUAAAUUGUUGAAUAUACUUGAUUCUUCACAGAUGGCCUUGUAGGAUUGUUCUGGAAACAGAUACAAAUGCGAUAUCUGAGAAGGUGCCAGGCGAUUGGAAGGAGCUGGAUCCUUCACUGAGCAGAUGAUAAGCCAAGCCGUAGCGACUGUGGAAGUGCACUUCACAAGCAUAGUGCACCAAGUUUGCAAGAAAGAAAAUGAGUUGAAUCCUCCUGUAUGAGUGAGCAUAGUUUAUCAUCUAUGGUUGUGGUUGUUGGCAUUUUGUUCGCGGAGAUGUGUGUCCAGCCCAAGUGCCUAACUGGUCACCAGAUUCCUAGGUCAUUGGUCCUGUUGUUUGACCUCCCUUUGGUGAAAUAGCACAUGAAUGCUACUGACCUCUUGUGCUUUUUAUGAGCAAGCAUGUUGAUGGUCAAAAUGUUUUUUUGUUAAGGGCAAGCAUGUCUGUUCUGCAAACAAGGAGACAGCAAAACACUUGAAAAUCUUGGGUCGGCGUAUCGUGACAAAACAUGAUAGGAAGAGAGUUACCAACUAACAAGGCAGUGGCAUUAUGAGCUGAGCUGCAGCAAGUUCUGAAGAGGCACCCAGAAAUUCAGGUCCUGACAGGUUGUGAGUGGAGGAGAUCAGAAGUAAACUCCUGUUGAGGCUGUGGCACUGUUUGGAGGAAUGGUGUUAUUGUUCACAACAAAGUUGAUGGUACACCAUUGGUGCCUCGGUUGCCUUCCUCCCGAAUUAUUUUUUCCUGUGCCCAACCUGAAUACCAUGUGUGUGGCGGUAAGAAGCUGACCAUUUUAAGGAACAAAUGCUUCAUCUGAUGUUCGAUCUUAACAUAUGCUCGAGAAAUAAAACUUGUACUGAUCUGCAGAGCCAUGAUCUUUUAUUCUCUGUAACCGGUGCAAUGCAGGUGAAUUGGGUCCACUAUUCUGUGCAGAGCCAUGAUCUUAGCAAGUUGAAACUGAUUUUCUUACAAGAGCUAGGAGAAUUAGUUUAAUUGAAAGAUUGCAUUAUGAGCAACUUCUCGAUGAAAUGCUCUGCUUGCGGUUCAUGAUUCCAUUGCAUUUGAUUUGGUAUUGAAACACAAACAUACUGUUAUAAUUCUGCCUUUGGGUUGCAUCUUGCAUGGUUUGGAAUAAUAUUAAUCAUUUCAGUUUAGUGGCUAAGUAUUUUAAGGAAUCAAUGCUUCAUGUGAUGUUUGAUGUUAAGAUAAGCUGGAGAAAUGAAACUUGUAUACGCCCAGAUUGUCUUCCCUUUAGAUUCUGUAAGAGGCAGCCACGUAUUCUUUUUUUAUUUGACUGUUGCAGUGUGUAUGAAUUAGGUCCACUAUGAGCCGGCUAGACAAGUUAUAAUCAAGAAGGUCUGACUGUUUAUUGGUAGUGUUCUUCUCAGUACUCAAACGUCAGCAACCUAGCUGUCUCUUGUCUCUGUUUAUUGAACUGAAGAAUUGACUUGUCCUUUUAUUGAUGUCUUCCUUUGUAGAGUUUAUUUGGUGCUCUUCUUAAUAUUAAGACUUACUAGCAAAUAUACAUGGGUGUCUUGUUUCUAUUUUUUGGCUGUAGCCGAUUAUCCAAUUGUCGACUAGCAGGUUGCACCUGAUUUUCAGAAGAGCUUGGAGCACUACUCUUGUUAUAUUAUUAAGUGCUUAAAUUAUAGUCAGCUUUUCAGAAAUGCUCUGCUGCAAUUCAUUCUUUCUUCAUUAAUGAAUUGCAUCAUUUGGAAUGUUGUACUGCAAUUCAUUCUUCAUGAAUCCAUUGCAUAACGAGCGAGGGCGGUGCAAGUGAAUUCAUUCUUCACGAACGAGGGCAGUGCAAGUGUACAAGAGAGCUGAAGCAUUCAGAGUGAUGAUUUUGGAACCUGCCAAUGGUGUCUCUGCACCGUAGUUGCUGUAUGAACCUAGGCAGAGAAGAGAGAUUUUGCCAUUUUGGAAACAUUUUAUUCAGAGUGAGAUAAACCAACCGAACCGAGUUCCAAGUGAAAGAGUGAUGAUUGAGAUUACUUACUCGCCAACAGUUUAGCUAAUGUGACUGUAAUCUAUGCCGGAGGGAGGAGGACUGCCUUUCCAAGUGGAGCAUGCAGGACAACUCUAUCUUUUUAGUAUAUCUGGCUGAUGAACUUCCCUAGUACAUCAGACUGGAUUGGGAAAAAACACUUAAAUAUUUAAAUUCGUAAUGUCUGACAUGUAAUACCUCAAAUAUUCAAAUUCGUAAUGUAUGGCUAAUGAACUUUCCUGGUAUCUCAAACGGUUUGUGUGCCUCAAAUUCACUCUGACCAUUUGUUACUGGGUAUGUUUUGUGCUGCUGCAGGAUCACUUGAAGUGCGCCCACAUCAGUUUUAUGUAGCAUGCUGGUGACAAAUUUCUGGUUACAGUUUACCAAGUCGAUGCAAUAUACAAGCCGAACACCCAGAUUAAUAUAUUUCAGUGUGUUUGAUCAAUCUGAGACCAAGGAGAAGUAUCUUGAUCUUAAACGGUUGCACAGGAACCUCGAAGUUUUGCUCUUUAUCCCUAUUUUGUUGAUGGCACCUAGAACUAGAAGGUCCUUUGUUCUGGGCACAGUCCAGCGGCUCCAGCACAAACCAGUUCUGCCCGAAUUGGAGACCGUCCAAAAUAUUUAGUGAAGAAUCAACUUGCCUCUUUAUCAAGGUCUUCUUUCUUAUAGAUUACCUGGUUGUCUUCUUAUAGUACUAGAAUUUAGCAAAUCCAUAUGUUACCUGUUUCUGUAUUUGUUAUAGCUGACGAUGAAAUGAGGCAGAUAUCCUCUUUGUUGACUAUGAUAUUCUCUGUUUAUUGAUCUUUUUAUAAUUAAAAAAACAGCUGGGAGUACUAGUUUAAUUGAAAGAGUGCAUCAUAGUCGAUGAGAAAUGUUCAGUUUUGCGUUCAUUCUUUUUCGCGAUUUAUUUCAUCUUGUUAGGUAUUGAAACACACUAAAAUUCUCUCUUUGCGUUGCUCUGUUUGCAAAUAUCUUUUUAUGAUUUAAGUUUAGCUGCUAGCCAUUUCAAGGAAUCAAUGCUACAUGUGAUGUUUGAUUAGGUUGUGUAACUGCAAUUAUAGUUCAGAUUGUGCAGUCAGCAGUGAAAACAGAUUUCUUGCAGCUAUGAGUAUUUGCUAAUGAUUCAUUUCCCCUCUUCUCAGUUUCUAGCUUGCACUCAACUCAAUGAAAACAUGGCACCAUGAUUUAUCCCUUAGUAGAGAUCGAUGGAGCCGGCGGACCCAACACAACCGAUGGAGAAGCGCUUGAUCACAUGGCCUUGUCUUGAGGUUCUUGCUACUACCAUCCGCACGAGCUAUUAACUUCGGGCUUCUUUUAACACAGACAGAUAAUUUAAUUAACUGUUAGUAGUGACUGGUACUAGGUAGCCAAAGGGAUGUCUUCUUGUGCUUAGAAGAUACUGAAUUCUUUAAGAUUGAGUCUCUCUUGUACUAGGUAGCCAGAGGUAGCCGAUGCUCUCUCAUGCUAGUGUGUACUCAUUCCUGGUACCUCGCAAUCCUAAGUACACAUACAGACAACCUUUUCUUUUUGA